UCUGUCACCAGGUUGGGGGCAACACCAACCUGGUGAGGCUGUCUAGGUGCUCAGGGACAAAUGUCCUCGGGUCACUGUGACAUCGGAGCUCAGUGACAUCAUGGCUGCUGAGAGCAUCGGGCAAGUCCUGGGGGGAGGCCGGGGCAGGUGAGGCAGCAGCAGCAGUGGCUGGGCUGGUGGAGGACAGCCAGGUCCCGGCACUGCAGGAGACUGUGCUGGCAGCACCAGCUCCCAGCUGAGCACAGGAAAGGGGCCCUCAGUGCUCUGCAUCACUGGAGGAUGAAGGUUAAUUCUUUUUUAGUUGCCAGAGUGAGACCUUUCAGCCACAGGUGUAUUUCAGACUUGCUGCAAUCCAGACAAGAUGACUGCAUUUCAGUGCUGACUGGAGCCUUUGCGAUGCAGUCUAUAAAACACUUUGGGAGCUUUCCAGAAGGAAGAUGGUCGAGAAACAUCAGCAAUAGCGGUCCAUGCACCUUCUCUGACACUGUCCUUUAUGACCCUUUCCUACUCCUCUCUCCUGUCUUCUCCCUCCUCCUGUCCCUACACAACCAUUUUCUGAACUGGAGGGUAGUGCUACCACCAGGCAGGGAAGGAGUGUCUCUCCAGAAUGAGAUUUGCCUCAAUUUCCAUCAGCAACAGAGAAGAGGGGGGAAAAAAAAUGUCCAAAUUAAGCUGCUUGAUUACUGAAA